AGCAGAAUUUGGCCUCUGACGUUCAUCUGCAAAAUGACAAAAGUCAGCAGUGGUCAGCUUCACAGUACACGAUUCAGCUUGUGGAGUCUUAUACAUAGAGGCCAUCUAGCUAAGACCCCAGAACACCCCCCAACUGAAGAGCAGGACUCGCACCCUCAGUCAGCUUGUCUGCAACCAUGGCAUCCUCUGGUGUUUCAUCAUUCUGAGGUUUGGUCACCACCAUGGAGGUAAGUGGAGUCACAAAGUUGUAACGCAGGGACAGCGCCAGGGCUUCAGCCGUCGCAUUAGCCUUCUCCUCCACCUUGCCACUCUCCCUGUGAAGACAAAUUCCCAGACAAGAGCAUCCAUGAUUACUCUGCCUCCUCAUGUAUGCAUGCAUGACAUGGAAAUUUGGUGGUUUAAUAUUCCUUAACUGGAUACCAAAGACACCAGAGACAGGGCUAGUAGAAAAAUUCAAAAGGCAUACUCUAGUAAACAACACUAGAAUUUUAUCAGAUUGGCAUAUUAUACUGCCAUGGCAAUGACAUUCAGCUCAACCUUUUGACAAGCAACUGCUGAAUAGAAAUAUAUGCCCAAAGACGCUCAGUGAAGUCUCCGAAGAUGUAUUCCUUUUCUGGAAAGAUGAUAUUCCAAUCCUCAGCACUUGCUUGACCCUGGAACUUUAUGUCAUUCACC